rnacentral:rRNA from 1 species
AUACUGAGGGUGCAGGCGUUAUCCGGAAUUACUGGGUUUAAAGGGUGCGUAGGCGGUUUAAUAAGUCAGAAGUGAAAAGUCCGGGCUCAACCGGGGCCUUGCUUUUGAUACUGUUAGACUUGAAUUAGGCUGAGGUUAGCGGAAUGUGACAUGUAGCGGUGAAAUGCAUAGAUAUGUCAUAGAACACCAAUUGCGAAGGCAGCUAACUAGACCUUAAUUGACGCUGAGGCACGAAAGCGUGGGGAGCGAACAGGAUUAGAAACCCUAGUAGUCC